CUGGAGGACUGAGAAAGUAGAACCAGUGAAGUCAGUUGGUGCUACUUGAUCCUGUCCUCCUAAAUUAAAUGGCAGAAGAGCAAGGUCUGUCUGUAAGAUACGGCUUGGCAUUACUACUGUCUGCCUACAGUG